rnacentral:rRNA from 1 species
GACGAACGCUGGCGGCGCGCCUAACACAUGCAAGUCGAACGAAGUUUUGGAUUCGUCUGAAACUUAGUGGCGGACGGGUGAGUAACACGUGAAGAACCUGCCUUACAGAGGGGGACAACAGUUGGAAACGACUGCUAAUACCGCAUAACACCAUGAGAUGGCAUCAUCUUGUGGUCAAAGGAGCAAUCCGCUGUAAGAUGGCUUCGCGUCCGAUUAGACAGUUGGCGGGGUAACGGCCCACCAAGUCUACGAUCGGUAGCCGGACUGAGAGGUUGAUCGGCCACAUUGGGACUGAGACACGGCCCAGACUCCUACGGGAGGCAGCAGUGGGGAAUAUUGCACAAUGGGAGGAAACUCUGAUGCAGCGACGCCGCGUGAGGGAAGAA